rnacentral:rRNA from 1 species
AUUGAACGCUGGCGGCAUGCCUUACACAUGCAAGUCGAACGGUAACAGGUUAAGCUGACGAGUGGCGAACGGGUGAGUAAUGUAUCGGAACGUGCCCAGUCGUGGGGGAUAACUGCUCGAAAGAGCAGCUAAUACCGCAUACGACCUGAGGGUGAAAGCGGGGGAUCGCAAGACCUCGCGCGAUUGGAGCGGCCGAUAUCAGAUUAGGUAGUUGGUGAGGUAAAGGCUCACCAAGCCGACGAUCUAUAGCUGGUCUGAGAGGACGACCAGCCACACUGGGACUGAGACACGGCCCAGACUCCUACGGGAGGCAGCAGUGGGGAAUUUUGGACAAUGGGCGCAAGCCUGAUCCAGCCAUGCCGCGUGCGGGAAGAAGGCCUUCGGGUUGUAAACCGCUUUUGUCAGGGAAGAAAAGGUUCUGGCUAAUACCUGGGACUCAUGGCGGUACCUGAAGAAUAAGCACCGGCUAACUACGUG